rnacentral:rRNA from 1 species
GAUGAACGCUAGCGGGAGGCCUAACACAUGCAAGUCGAGGGGUAACGGAAGUAGCUUGCUACUAGACGACGACCGGCGCACGGGUGAGUAACGCGUAUGUAAUCUGCCUUGUACAGAGGGAUAGCCCAGAGAAAUUUGGAUUAAUACCUCAUAGUAUUACUGAAUCGCAUGAUUUGGUAAUUAAAGCUCCGGCGGUACAAGAUGAACAUGCGUGACAUUAGCUAGUUGGUAAGGUAACGGCUUACCAAGGCCACGAUGUCUAGGGGUUCUGAGAGGAUGAUCCCCCACACUGGUACUGAGACACGGACCAGACUCCUACGGGAGCAGCAGUGAGGAAUAUUGGUCAAUGGACGCAAGUCUGAACCAGCCAUCCCGCGUGAAGGAUGACUGCCCCUAUGGGUUUGUAAACUUUCUUUUAUAUGCAAAAUAAACCUACUUUCGUGAAAGUAGCUGAAGGUAGCAUAUGAAUAAACACCGGCUAACUCCGUGCCAGC